CCCCUCUCAGGGUUGCACCUGGAGAGUUUCCAGUACUCUACCAGUCUCAGCUAUGGGAGGGAGAGUCAAGCAGAGGUCUACCGUUCCAUUCCUAGCUUGGGCAGUGGCUAGGGAGUGGGUUGCAAUCUGCUACAAGU